CGAGUCUACUUUCCUAUUAAAUACGGACAUCAUAUCAAAAUUUGCCAAAUAUAAUUUACUACUUGAGCAAGUGGCACUAAACUAGCUUCAAAUCGAAAAGUGGUCUAUUUUACAAAGAUGAAGGCAUUGAGUGUAUUCGGAUUUAUCUGCAUUUUGGGUUACACCCUAGCCAAUUCCUUUACACGCUGUCCUCACGAAGAAGAUGGACCGUCUAGAGCUUUCCAUGCAUGUAAUGCUCCUGUUCUUGCAGCUGUAACUAAUCGGGAGUUAUGCCCAGCGAUGACUUCCGCCAUUAGUUGUGUUGAACAGCUAGCAAUUCACUGUCCCAGUUUCAUGGAGGCCAUCGGAAUUCAAGAACUUCGCGGAUUAGAAGGAUUGGCUCGAACUUACUGCAAGUUUUAAGAUUCCAGGUGAUGGUCAAAUGUCAAGAGUUAUUAGAGAUAUUAUGAGAACUAUACACCUCUCGGUCAACAAUGACAUUUGAUAUUAGAUAGACGCACAGUAUUGGUGUAAAAUGUUGUUUUUUUUACAAAAUAAUUCACAGCUUCUGCUAAUUUAUCUUGUCUUUGCUUCACAAUGACACAUUUUAUAUGCCAACAAUAAUUACAUCAACUUUAGUGCAAAACAUUUAAUAAAUUCACUAACAUGCUU